rnacentral:rRNA from 1 species
CAGUAGCCGCGGGAAUACGUAGGGGGCAAGCGUUGUCCGGAAUUAUUGGGCGUAAAGCGCGCGCAGGCGGUUCUUUAAGUCUGGUGUAUAAGUGCGUGGCUCAACCCCGUGAGGCACUGGAAACUGGGGAACUUGAGUGCAGAAGAGGAGAGCGGAAUUCCACGUGUAGCGGUGAAAUGCGUAGAGAUGUGGAGGAACACCAGUGGCGAAGGCGGCUCUCUGGACUGUAACUGACGCUGAGGCGCGAAAGCGUGGGGAGCAAACAGGAUUAGAUACCCCCGUAGUCCCUGUCUCUUAUACA